rnacentral:lncRNA from 1 species
ACGACAAAGAUCCUACGCCGUUUGGCCAAUCAUAUUCCAUAAUCGCAGCCGAGUUCCAUAAUCGCAGUUGACCUAGAACGGGAUUGGCCGGACGACGUACAAUCUUCGUCGUCCGAGAGACAUCGAACGAGGGGUACAUCGACUGAAUAUACAUUGCGAUUCAAUAUUCAGUAGGUAUUUUAUGACCGUGAUUGCAAUUUGCAUUUGAGCUCAGCAGUCGAGUAAGUUGUGCCAAAAAUACCAGAAGUGUUGCAUGCCCUGGAUGCAGAAAAACAAGAUUGAAAUGAGUGGAUCAAGUUGUAUCUUUCGUGCAGAUGUAGAUAUCAAGACAAGAUGUACCUUUCACUUAAGAUCCAUGCAGGCGCAAGCUCUGGAUGAACUUCUGCGGUGACGUCGGCAUUCUUACAGGAGAACCCAAGAUUCGCUGUACCUGUAUGCAUUUCAAAACUGAAUAAUUGAUAGCAACAAGUAAAUAUUUGAAGUUGCAGCCAAAUGCUGUGCCUUCUCUGCUGCAAGAACUACAUGUCACCAUUGAAGCAAGGACCAGCUCGACUCCUGCAGUAGGACUCCAGCCUCGUCCAGUCGUCGCCGC